UACGUAGGGUGCGAGCGUUUAAUCGGAAUUACUGGGCGUAAAGCGUGCGUAGACGGUUAUGUAAGUCAGGUGUGAAAGCCCCGGGCUCAACCUGGGAAUUGCAUUUGAGACUGCAUAGCUAGGGUGCGGAAGAGGGAAGCGGAAUUUCCGGUGUAGCGGUGAAAUGCGUAGAUAUCGGAAGGAACAUCAGUGGCGAAAGCGGCACCCUGGCAUUAGCCUGACGCUCAUGUGCGAAAGCGUGGGGGAGCGAACGGG
rnacentral:rRNA from 1 species